rnacentral:rRNA from 1 species
UACGGGGGGAGCAAGCGUUGUCCGGAUUCAUUGGGCGUAAAGAGCGUGUAGGCGGCCAGGUAGGUCGGUUGUGAAAACUGGAGGCUCAACCUUCAGAGGUCGACCGAAACCAUCUGGCUAGAGUCCGGGAGAGGAGAGUGGAAUUCCUGGUGUAGCGGUGAAAUGCGCAGAUAUCAGGAAGAACACCCGUGGCGAAAGCGGCUCUCUGGAACGGUACUGACGCUGAGACGCGAAAGCGUGGGGGAGCGAAACAGG